rnacentral:rRNA from 1 species
GGAUUAGAUACCCUGGUAGUCCACGCUGUAAACGAUGCAUACUAGGUGUUGGCCUUUCGGGGCCAGUGCUGCAGUUAACGCAUUAAGUAUGCCACCUGGGGAGUACGUCGGCAACGAUGAAACUCAAAGGAAUUGACGGGGGCCCGCACAAGCGGUGGAGCAUGUGGCUUAAUUCGAUGCAACGCGAGGAACCUUACCUGGGCUAAAUCUACAGCGCCACCUCUGGAAACAGAGGGUUCUCUAUGAGACGCUAUAGAAGGUGCUGCAUGGCUGUCGUCAGCUCGUGCCG